CAAGGAGCAGAUGCUGGAGCUGCUGGUCCUCGAGCAGUGCGCCACCGUCGCCCCGAGAGCGGAUACCCGCGCCCUGCACCCGGCCUCCCCGCAGGGCACCCCAACUUUCAAGGCCGAGGCGGGAUCUCCGACCCAGGGAGAAUGGCAGCAGCUGCCAUGGACCCCCAGAACGGUUCGUGCAAAGAGAGCGUGGAGGACUACGGGAGCACGGCCGUGCCGGGCCUGGAGAACCAAGCUGCCUAGAACCCUGACCUGAUCCUAAAGUAGGAGAAGGACUGCAAGGAGGAGGCCAAGCUUGCCCAGGCCUGGGUACAAGGUGCGCCCCCGGGGAUGGACCUGGACAG
rnacentral:lncRNA from 1 species